rnacentral:rRNA from 1 species
GGUCAAGUGAAGAAGCGCAUACGGUGGAUGCCUUGGCAGUCAGAGGCGAUGAAAGACGUGGUAGCCUGCGAAAAGCUUCGGGGAGUCGGCAAACAGACUUUGAUCCGGAGAUCUCUGAAUGGGGGAACCCACCUAGGAUAACCUAGGUAUCUUGUACUGAAUCCAUAGGUGCAAGAGGCGAACCAGGGGAACUGAAACAUCUAAGUACCCUGAGGAAAAGAAAUCAACCGAGAUUCCCUUAGUAGUGGCGAGCGAACGGGGAUUAGCCCUUAAGCUUCAUUGAUUUUAGCGGAACGCUCUGGAAAGUGCGGCCAUAGUGGGUGAUAGCCCCGUACGCGAAAGGAUCUUUGAAGUGAAAUCGAGUAGGACGGAGCACGAGAAACUUUGUCUGAACAUGGGGGGACCAUCCUCCAAGGCUAAAUACUACUGACUGACCGAUAGUGAACCAGUACCGUGAGGGAAAGGCGAAAAGAACCCCGGAGAGGGGAGUGAAAUAGAACCUGAAACCGUAUGCGUACAAGCAGUGGGAGCCUACUUGUUAGGUGACUGCGUACCUUUUGUAUAAUGGGUCAGCGACUUAUAUUCAGUGGCAAGCUUAACCGUAUAGGGUAGGCGUAGCGAAAGCGAGUCUUAAUAGGGCGUUUAGUCGCUGGGUAUAGACCCGAAACCGGGCGAUCUAUCCAUGAGCAGGUUGAAGGUUAGGUAACACUGACUGGAGGACCGAACCCACUCCCGUUGAAAAGGUAGGGGAUGACUUGUGGAUCGGAGUGAAAGGCUAAUCAAGCUCGGAGAUAGCUGGUUCUCCUCGAAAGCUAUUUAGGUAGCGCCUCAUGUAUCACUCUGGGGGGUAGAGCACUGUUUCGGCUAGGGGGUCAUCCCGACUUACCAAACCGAUGCAAACUCCGAAUACCCAGAAGUGCCGAGCAUGGGAGACACACGGCGGGUGCUAACGUCCGUCGUGAAAAGGGAAACAACCCAGACCGCCAGCUAAGGUCCCAAAGUUGUGGUUAAGUGGUAAACGAUGUGGGAAGGCUUAGACAGCUAGGAGGUUGGCUUAGAAGCAGCCACCCUUUAAAGAAAGCGUAAUAGCUCACUAGUCGAGUCGGCCUGCGCGGAAGAUGUAACGGGGCUCAAACCACACACCGAAGCUGCGGGUGUCACGUAAGUGACGCGGUAGAGGAGCGUUCUGUAAGCCUGUGAAGGUGAGUUGAGAAGCUUGCUGGAGGUAUCAGAAGUGCGAAUGCUGACAUGAGUAACGACAAUGGGUGUGAAAAACACCCACGCCGAAAGACCAAGGGUUCCUGCGCAACGUUAAUCGACGCAGGGUUAGUCGGUUCCUAAGGCGAGGCUGAAAAGCGUAGUCGAUGGGAAACAGGUUAAUAUUCCUGUACUUCUGGUUACUGCGAUGGAGGGACGGAGAAGGCUAGGCCAGCUUGGCGUUGGUUGUCCAAGUUUAAGGUGGUAGGCUGAAAUCUUAGGUAAAUCCGGGGUUUCAAGGCCGAGAGCUGAUGACGAGUCGUCUUUUAGAUGACGAAGUGGUUGAUGCCAUGCUUCCAAGAAAAGCUUCUAAGCUUCAGGUAACCAGGAACCGUACCCCAAACCGACACAGGUGGUCGGGUAGAGAAUACCAAGGCGCUUGAGAGAACUCGGGUGAAGGAACUAGGCAAAAUGGCACCGUAACUUCGGGAGAAGGUGCGCCGGCUAGGGUGAAGGAUUUACUCCGUAAGCUCUGGCUGGUCGAAGAUACCAGGCCGCUGCGACUGUUUAUUAAAAACACAGCACUCUGCAAACACGAAAGUGGACGUAUAGGGUGUGACGCCUGCCCGGUGCCGGAAGGUUAAUUGAUGGGGUUAGCGCAAGCGAAGCUCUUGAUCGAAGCCCCGGUAAACGGCGGCCGUAACUAUAACGGUCCUAAGGUAGCGAAAUUCCUUGUCGGGUAAGUUCCGACCUGCACGAAUGGCGUAACGAUGGCGGCGCUGUCUCCACCCGAGACUCAGUGAAAUUGAAAUCGCUGUGAAGAUGCAGUGUAUCCGCGGCUAGACGGAAAGACCCCGUGAACCUUUACUGUAGCUUUGCACUGGACUUUGAGCCUGCUUGUGUAGGACUAGGUGGGAGGCUUUGAAGCGUGGACGCCAGUUCGCGUGGAGCCAUCCUUGAAAUACCACCCUGGCAUGCUUGAGGUUCUAACUCUGGUCCGUAAUCCGGAUCGAGGACAGUGUAUGGUGGGCAGUUUGACUGGGGCGGUCUCCUCCUAAAGAGUAACGGAGGAGUACGAAGGUGCGCUCAGACCGGUCGGAAAUCGGUCGCAGAGUAUAAAGGCAAAAGCGCGCUUGACUGCGAGACAGACACGUCGAGCAGGUACGAAAGUAGGUCUUAGUGAUCCGGUGGUUCUGUAUGGAAGGGCCAUCGCUCAACGGAUAAAAGGUACUCCGGGGAUAACAGGCUGAUACCGCCCAAGAGUUCAUAUCGACGGCGGUGUUUGGCACCUCGAUGUCGGCUCAUCACAUCCUGGGGCUGAAGCCGGUCCCAAGGGUAUGGCUGUUCGCCAUUUAAAGUGGUACGCGAGCUGGGUUUAGAACGUCGUGAGACAGUUCGGUCCCUAUCUGCCGUGGACGUUUGAGAUUUGAGAGGGGCUGCUCCUAGUACGAGAGGACCGGAGUGGACGAACCUCUGGUGUUCCGGUUGUCACGCCAGUGGCAUUGCCGGGUAGCUAUGUUCGGAAAAGAUAACCGCUGAAAGCAUCUAAGCGGGAAACUUGCCUCAAGAUGAGAUCUCACUGGGAACUUGAUUCCCCUGAAGGGCCGUCGAAGACUACGACGUUGAUAGGCUGGGUGUGUAAGCGUUGUGAGGCGUUGAGCUAACCAGUACUAAUUGCCCGUGAGGCUUGACCAU